GUUAUAGGGUCAAGCGAAUAAGUGCAUGUGGUGGAUGCCUUGGCGAUCACAGGCGAUGAAGGACGUAGUAGCUUGCGAAAAGCUGCGGGGAGCUGGCAAACGAGCUUUGAUCCGCAGAUGUCCGAAUGGGGAAACCCGGCCCGUAUGGGUCAUCCCUUGCUGAAUACAUAGGCAAGGGAGGCGAACGCAGUGAACUGAAACAUCUAAGUAGCUGCAGGAAAAGAAAUCAACCGAGAUUCCCAAAGUAGUGGCGAGCGAAAUGGGAACAGCCUUGUACUCUUUAGCAGUAUUGUUAGCGGAACGGAAUGGAAAGUCCGGCCAUAGUGGGUGAUAGCCCCGUACGCGAAAACAGUAUUGUGGAACUAGGUGUACGACAAGUAGGGCGGGACACGUGAAAUCCUGUCUGAAGAUGGGGGGACCAUCCUCCAAGGCUAAAUACUCGUGAUCGACCGAUAGUGAACCAGUACCGUGAGGGAAAGGCGAAAAGAACCCCGGGAGGGGAGUGAAAUAGAUCCUGAAACCGCAUGCAUACAAACAGUCGGAGCCUGGAAACGGGUGACGGCGUACCUUUUGUAUAAUGGGUCAGCGACUUACAUUCAGUGGCAAGCUUAACCGAUUAGGGAAGGCGUAGCGAAAGCGAGUCCGAAUAGGGCGUUCAGUCGCUGGGUGUAGACCCGAAACCAAGUGAUCUAUCCAUGGCCAGGUUGAAGGUGCGGUAACACGUACUGGAGGACCGAACCCACUAACGUUGAAAAGUUAGGGGAUGAGCUGUGGAUAGGGGUGAAAGGCUAAACAAACUUGGAAAUAGCUGGUUCUCUCCGAAAACUAUUUAGGUAGUGCCUCGUGUCUCACCUUCGGGGGUAGAGCACUGUCAUGGUUGGGGGGUCUAUUGCUGAUUACCCCGCCAUAGCAAACUCCGAAUACCGAAGAGUGCAAUCACGGGAGACAGACAUCGGGUGCUAACGUCCGGUGUCAAGAGGGAAACAACCCAGACCGCCAGCUAAGGUCCCUAAGAUUGGCUAAGUGGGAAACGAAGUGGGAAGGCUAAAACAGUCAGGAGGUUGGCUUAGAAGCAGCCACCCUUUAAAGAAAGCGUAAUAGCUCACUGAUCGAGUCGUCCUGCGCGGAAGAUGUAACGGGGCUAAGCCAGUCACCGAAGCUGCGGAUGCACGUAAGUGCAUGGUAGGAGAGCGUUCUGUAAGCCUGUGAAGGUGUCUUGUAAAGGAUGCUGGAGGUAUCAGAAGUGCGAAUGCUGACAUGAGUAGCGAUAAAGGGGGUGAAAGGCCCCCUCGCCGUAAGCCCAAGGUUUCCUACGCAACGUUCAUCGGCGUAGGGUGAGUCGGCCCCUAAGGCGAGGCAGAGAUGCGUAGCUGAUGGGAAGCAGGUUAAUAUUCCUGCACCGUCGUAUGAUGCGAUGGGGGGACGGAUCGCGGAAGGUUGUCCGGGUGUUGGAAGUCCCGGUCCCUACAUUGGAGAUGGCACUUAGGCAAAUCCGGGUGCGUGAUUCAAGGGUGUGGGGCGAGCGACGUUAGGUCGCGAAGCAAUUGGAAGUGGUUCCAAGAAAAGCCUCUAAGCUUCAGUCAUACGAGACCGUACCGCAAACCGACACAGGUGGGCGAGAUGAGUAUUCUAAGGCGCUUGAGAGAACUCGGGAGAAGGAACUCGGCAAAUUGGUACCGUAACUUCGGGAUAAGGUACGCCCUUGUAGUUUGACUGGCUCGCGCCAGAAGGAUGAAGGGGUUGCAAUAAAAUGGUGGCUGCGACUGUUUAAUAAAAACACAGCACUCUGCAAACACGAAAGUGGACGUAUAGGGUGUGACGCCUGCCCGGUGCCGGAAGAUUAAAUGAUGGGGUGCAAGCUCUUGAUUGAAGUCCCGGUAAACGGCGGCCGUAACUAUAACGGUCCUAAGGUAGCGAAAUUCCUUGUCGGGUAAGUUCCGACCUGCACGAAUGGCGUAACGAUGGCCACACUGUCUCCUCCCGAGACUCAGCGAAGUUGAAGUGUUUGUGAUGAUGCAAUCUCCCCGCGGCUAGACGGAAAGACCCCAUGAACCUUUACUGUAGCUUUGCAUUGGACUUUGAACCGAUCUGUGUAGGAUAGGUGGGAGGCUUUGAAACCGGGACGCUAGUUUCGGUGGAGCCGACCUUGAAAUACCACCCUGGUUUGUUUGAGGUUCUAACCUUGGCCCGUGAAUCCGGGUCGGGGACAGUGCAUGGUAGGCAGUUUGACUGGGGCGGUCUCCUCCCAAAGUGUAACGGAGGAGUUCGAAGGUACGCUUGGUACGGUCGGACAUCGUACCUAAAGUGCAAUGGCAAAAGCGUGCUUAACUGCGAGACCGACAAGUCGAGCAGGUGCGAAAGCAGGACAUAGUGAUCCGGUGGUUCUGUAUGGAAGGGCCAUCGCUCAACGGAUAAAAGGUACUCUGGGGAUAACAGGCUGAUACCGCCCAAGAGUUCAUAUCGACGGCGGUGUUUGGCACCUCGAUGUCGGCUCAUCUCAUCCUGGGGCUGUAGCCGGUCCCAAGGGUAUGGCUGUUCGCCAUUUAAAGAGGUACGUGAGCUGGGUUUAAAACGUCGUGAGACAGUUUGGUCCCUAUCUGCCGUGGGCGUUGGAAUCUUGACGGGGGCUGCUCCUAGUACGAGAGGACCGGAGUGGACGUACCGCUGGUGUACCUGUUGUCUCGCCAGAGGCAUCGCAGGGUAGCUAUGUACGGAAGAGAUAACCGCUGAAAGCAUCUAAGCGGGAAACUCGCCUGAAGAUGAGGAUUCCCUGGAGACUUGAUCUCCCUGAAGGGUCGUUCGAGAUCAGGACGUUGAUAGGCUGGGUGUGGAAGCGCAGUAAUGCGUUCAGCUAACCAGUACUAAUUGCCCGUGCGGCUUGAUCCUAUAACC
rnacentral:rRNA from 1 species